rfam:Rattus norvegicus chromosome 7, whole genome shotgun sequence.
GGGGAUUUAGCUCAGUGGUAGAGCGCUUGCCUAGAAAGCGCGAGGCCCUGGGUUCGGUCCCCAGCUCCG